GCCAGCAUGGUAUAGUGGUUUGAGCAUCAGACUAUGACUCUAGGAGACCAGAGUUCAAAUCUCUGCUCAGCCA